UCGGCCCCGGUUCACGCCCCGCAAACCCGCGGAGCGACCCGGCGCC
ncrna:Streptomyces hokutonensis L31-Actinobacteria ribosomal protein leader